rnacentral:rRNA from 1 species
GCUUAACACAUGCAAGUCGAGCGGUAACAGGGGUAGCUUGCUACCCGCUGACGAGCGGCGCACGGGUGAGUAAUGCUUAGGAAUCUGCCCAGUAGUGGGGGAUAGCCCGGGGAAACCCGGAUUAAUACCGCAUACGUCCUACGGGAGAAAGCAGGGGAUCUUCGGACCUUGCGCUAUUGGAUGAGCCUAAGUCGGAUUAGCUGGUUGGUGGGGUAAAGGCCUACCAAGGCGACGAUCCGUAGCUGGUCUGAGAGGAUGAUCAGCCACAUCGGGACUGAGACACGGCCCGAACUCCUACGGGAGGCAGCAGUGGGGAAUAUUGGACAAUGGGGGCAACCCUGAUCCAGCCAUGCCGCGUGUGUGAAGAAGGCUUUCGGGUUGUAAAGCACUUUCAGUAGGGAGGAAAACCUUAUGGCUAAUACCUAUGAGGCUUGACGUUACCUACAGAAGAAGCACCGGCUAACUCCGUGCCAGCAGCCGCGGUAAUACGGAGGGUGCAAGCGUUAAUCGGAAUUACUGGGCGUAAAGCGCGCGUAGGUGGUUUGGUAAGCGAGAUGUGAAAGCCCCGGGCUUAACCUGGGAACGGCAUUUCGAACUGUCAGACUAGAGUGUGGUAGAGGGUAGUGGAAUUUCCUGUGUAGCGGUGAAAUGCGUAGAUAUAGGAAGGAACACCAGUGGCGAAGGCGGCUACCUGGACCAACACUGACACCUGAGGUGCGAAAGCGUGGGUAGCAAACAGGAUUAGAUACCCUGGUAGUCCACGCCGUAAACGAUGUCAACUAGCCGUUGGGACUCUUGAAGUCUUAGUGGCGCAGCUAACGCACUAAGUUGACCGCCUGGGGAGUACGGCCGCAAGGUUAAAACUCAAAUGAAUUGACGGGGGCCCGCACAAGCGGUGGAGCAUGUGGUUUAAUUCGACGCAACGCGAAGAACCUUACCUGGCCUUGACAUCCAGAGAACUUUCCAGAGAUGGAUUGGUGCCUUCGGGAACUCUGAGACAGGUGCUGCAUGGCCGUCGUCAGCUCGUGUCGUGAGAUGUUGGGUUAAGUCCCGUAACGAGCGCAACCCCUAUCCCUGGUUGCUAGCAGGUAAUGCUGAGAACUCCAGGGAGACUGCCGGUGACAAACCGGAGGAAGGUGGGGAUGGCGUCAGGUCAUCAUGGCCCUUACGGCCAGGGCUACACACGUGCUACAAUGGCGCGUACAGAGGGCUGCCAACUCGCGAGAGUGAGCCAAUCCCUUAAAACGCGUCGUAGUCCGGAUCGGAGUCUGCAACUCGACUCCGUGAAGUCGGAAUCGCUAGUAAUCGCGAAUCAGAAUGUCACGGUGAAUACGUUACCGGGCCUUGUACAUCACCGCCCGUCACUUCAUGGGAGUGGAUUGCACCAGAAGUAGUUAGUCUAACCUUCGGGAGG